rnacentral:rRNA from 1 species
GUCCAUAUGAAAAUUAUAUAUGGUCCGGCCUGCUCACUGAGUAAAACUUAAAGAGCCGCGGUACUUUGACCGUGCAAAGGUAGCAUAGUCAUUAGUUUUUUAAUUGAAAACUUGUAUGAAUGGUUAAACAAAAGAAAAACUGUCUCUUCGUUAAAACUUGAACUUUACUUUUAAGUGAAAAGGCUUAAAUUUUUUAGGGGGACGAUAAGACCCUAUAAAGCUUAAUGAUUAAAAGUUAAAUUUUUUGAUGUAACUUAUAAAAUUAAAUUAAAUAAAAUCAUUUUGUUGGGGCGACACAGGUAUAAAUAAAUAUAACUGCCAGAUUUUUAACCAUAAUUUCAUGAUAUAAUAAUGAUCCUAUAUAAAGAUUAAAAGAUUAAGUUACUUUAGGGAUAACAGCGUAAUUCUUUUUAAGAGUUCUUAUUGAAAAAAGAGUUUGCGACCUCGAUGUUGAAUUAAAAAUCCUUUAUGGUGCAGCAGCUAUAACAGGAGGUCUGUUCGACCUUUAAAAUUUUACA